rnacentral:rRNA from 1 species
AACGAACGCUGGCGGCAUGCCUAACACAUGCAAGUCGAACGCUCCGCAAGGGGAGUGGCGAACGGGUGAGUAACGCGUGGGAACCUGCCCAGUAGUUGGGGAUAACCGCGGGAAACUGCGGCUAAUACCGAAUACGCCCUAAGGGGAAAGGAUUUAUCGCUAUUGGAGGGGCCCGGCGUCGGAUUAGCUGGUUGGUGAGGUAACGGCUCACCAAGGCGACGAUCCGUAGCUGGUCUGAGAGGAUGAUCAGCCACACUGGAACUGAGACACGGUCCAGACACCUACGGGGUGGCAGCAGUUUCGAAUCAUUCACAAUGGGCGAAAGCCUGAUGGUGCGACGCCGCGUGAGGGAUGAAGG